rfam:Clostridium bartlettii CAG:1329 genomic scaffold, scf11
AAAAAUCUUCGGGGCAGGGUGAAAUUCCCUACCGGCGGUAAAGCCCGCGAACUAUGAAAAUAGCUGAUUUGGUGAAAUUCCAAAGCCGACAGUAGAGUCUGGAUGAGAGAAGAGAGUU